CCUACGGGAGGCAGCAGUGGGGAAUAUUGGGCAAUGGACGCAAGUCUGACCCAGCAACGCCGCGUGAAGGAAGAAGGCUUUCGGGUUGUAAACUUCUUUUAAGGGGGAAGAGCAGAAGACGUUACCCCUUGAAUAAGCCACGGCUACCUACGUGCCAGCAGCCGCGGUAAUACGUAGGUGGCAAGCGUUAUCCGGAUUCAUUGGGUUUAAAGGAUGCGUAGGUUGUUUUAUAAGUUAGCGAUGAAAUACCGAUGCUCAACAUCGGGGCUGCCGCUAAUACUGUAGGACUAGAGAUCGGAUGCAGCAGGCGGAAUGUGUAGUGUAGCGGUGAAAUGCAUAGAUAUUACACAGAACACCGAUUGCGAAGGCAGCUUGCUAGGCCGGAUCUGACACUGAUGCACGAAAGCGUGGGGAUCGAACAGGAUUAGAUACCCCUGUAGUC
rnacentral:rRNA from 1 species